rnacentral:rRNA from 1 species
GAUGAACGCUAGCGGCAGGCUUAACACAUGCAAGUCGAGGGGUAGAAGGAGCUUGCUCCUUUGAGACCGGCGCACGGGUGCGUAACGCGUAUGCAAUCUACCUUUUGCAGAGGGAUAGCCCAGAGAAAUUUGGAUUAAUACCUCAUAGUAUAGCAGUUUCGCAUGAAACCACUAUUAAAGUCACAACGGUGAAAGAUGAGCAUGCGUCCCAUUAGCUAGUUGGUAAGGUAACGGCUUACCAAGGCAACGAUGGGUAGGGGUCCUGAGAGGGAGAUCCCCCACACUGGUACUGAGACACGGACCAGACUCCUACGGGAGGCAGCAGUGGGGAAUAUUGGACAAUGGGCGCAAGCCUGAUCCAGCAAUGCCGCGUGCAGGAUGAAGGCC